AGCUGGUGGAUCCUGCCAGUAGUCAUAUGCUCGUCUUCAAGAUUAAGCCAUGCAUGUCUAAGUGUAAACCACUGGUGAACUGCGAAUGGCUCAAUACAUCAGUUAUGAUUUCCUUGGUGGUAUUCUCUACUCGGAUAACCGUAGUAACUCUGUGGCUAAUACGUACGAAGUCCCUCACUCUUGAGGUUGGGCGUAUUUGUUAGGUAUAAACGCCGACCCACACCCCGAGGUGUGGUGAACGUGUUGAAUCAUAAUAACUGUCGAAUCGUGUGGCGAUACGCACCCUCCCCAUUACCUAGAUGCAUAUGUGAUGGGACAAAGAGGAUGACGUUCCUAACGCCAACGAUGCACCAUCUAAAUUUCUGCCUUAUCAACUUGAUGGUAGGGUAGUGGCCUACCAUGGUCGUGACGGGUAACGGGGAAUUGGCGUUCGAUUCCGGAGAGGGAGCCUG
rnacentral:rRNA from 1 species